rnacentral:rRNA from 1 species
CAGACAGGCGCGAAAACUUUACAAUGCGGAGAAACCGUGAUAAGGGGACACCUGAGUGCCAUCAUAUGCUGGCUGUCCGCGGUGUGUAAUAAUACACCUGUUAGCAAGGCGCCGGGCAAGGGUGUUUCCAGCCGCAAACGCGGUAACACCGGCGGCCCGAGUGGUGAUCGUGAUUAUUGGAGGGUCCGUAGCAUGCCGGUUUGGUCAGUCCUCCGGGAAAUCUGAUAGCUCAACUAUUAGUCGGAGGAUACUGCCAGACUUGAAACCGGGAGAGGUAAGAGGUACUACAGGGGUAGGAAUGAAAUCCUGUAAUCCA